ensembl:lncRNA
UGGGUGAGUGGUACUGUGGCUGAUAAGCAUUUUCAGCUCUGGGUGAGUGGUACUGUGGCUGAUAAGCAUUUUCAGCUCUGGGUGAGUGGUACUGUGGCUGAGGAACAUGUCCAGCUCCAGGUGAGUGGUACGGUGGUUGAGGAGCAUGUCCAGCUCCAGGUGAGUGGUACGGUGGCUGAGGAACAUGUCCAGCUCCAGGUGAGUGGUACGGUGGCUGAGGAGCAUGUCCAGCUCCAGGUGAGUGGUACUGUGGCUGAGGAGCAUAUUAUUACCAUGGCGGGUAGUACACACCAAUAUGUGCAUUAGCAAAGCUUCCUCUUCCUCUGCCCCUAUUGAAACCUCUUCCUCUUUCAUUCACUGUGAACUCACGUGCCCCAACUGCCCACAGGACCAGCGUUGAGUGUUGUUCCAGUCACAAAGUGCCAUGGCGGGCCAACCUCCUCUUCCUGUCCAUGUCUGUG